AUGGACAACCCUAGCGGCGGAAGGGACGGUCGUUACGCGAGUCUCGGCUACGGCAUGGGGAUGAUCGGUAGCGACGGUGCCACGGAAAUGUACGGGCGACCGUCCACCUCCCAACUCGGUGCUGCUGCUGCUGCCGCCGCCGCCGCAGCCGCUGCUGCUUCUCAGUUGGGCCAACGUGGUGGCGCCACCAUGAUGCCCGGGGGCGGCCCGACGCCCGGCGUCGCCACGGUCCAGAGUAGAGGCAUCAAGAGGACGACGUCGGAUGUUUGUUACACCGAUGACACUAACGCCAGGCAGCAGGCCCUUUCCCAACAGCAGCAGCAGCAGCAACAACAACAACAACAACAACAGCAGCAGCAGCAGCAACAGAGUAUGACGAUGUCAGAUUGUGUCGCCGAGAAUCUCGAUGAGUCCUUCACGAAUCUCGGACAGCCGAAGAAGUCGCCACCCUCUAAUGGAAAGAAGACCAAGGGUAGAGUCAAGAUUAAAAUGGAGUACAUCGAUAACAAGUUAAGGAGGUACACCACAUUUUCCAAGAGGAAGACCGGUAUCAUGAAGAAGGCGUACGAGCUGUCGACGUUGACCGGUACGCAAGUGAUGCUAUUGGUAGCGAGCGAGACCGGGCACGUUUAUACGUUUGCGACGCGCAAACUGCAGCCGAUGAUAACGAGCGAGGCCGGGAAAGCGUUGAUCCAGACGUGCCUGAAUAGUCCCGAUCCACCGCCUUCUGGUUCCUCGGGAGAUCAACGGAUGUCGGCGACCGGAUUCGAGGAGACCGAGUUAACCUACAACAUCGGCGACGAGGAGCAGAAAGAAGACGGUACGUCGCCUAGAUCGGACGUCUGCGCAAACGAGAGCGACGGUGAUACGAGCGACGGCGAUUCACCGGUUUCGAAGGAUCUCGCAAAGAAUCAUUCGGGUAAUAUACCUUCAUUCUCCGCUGGAAUCAUGUACCAGAUGCCACAAAGUGUCAUUUAUUCGCCUAGUCCGGGUGUUUUGCUCGGUAUCGGACAAAACGGUCAACCGGUACAAAUUUCACAAGACGGAGGUACGACAACAUCGGUUAAUUCAUCGCAAGGAAAUCAACCGUUCAUCACGAUACCGCUUAACGUGGCGAUGAGUGCCGCAGGUCUCUCAUUGCCGGUGUCAUCGAGAACGAGCUUGUCAUCUCCGUCACCGAGAUCACCAAUUUCAGGGUCAGCAUCUUCAGUUGCAUGCGAAUUGCCCUCCGACCUUACAAAGGACAGAGAGUGACAAAGGCGAAACGUAAACGAUGAUGCUAAUAUUCGAGUCUCGCUGUGUCGUAAACCAUCGGAAAAGUUUCCGAAGGAAUCUCGAUUCGAGUCUCGAAGACGGAAGGAAAAGAGAAUUCAUGAAGAAGAAAAAAAAGAAGAAGAAGAAGAAGGAUUAAGGGAAAACAAAGAACAGGAAGGUUCGAAGGAAAACGAAACGAAUGAAAUAUCUACAAGGAUUAUCAAGGAUCUUAAAAAUGGUGGCACGAUCAUGAAGGAACCGAGGAAGAAACGAAUAGCCGAGAAAAUUUAGACUAUACAAACGAGGCCCUGGCUGUUCUUCCUUCAAGUUUUUCGCGAUUAAAAAUGGACUAAACGUGACAAAAGAAUUUUAAAUUCUUUACGACGACGGUCAAUGGAGGGAUGAUUUUUUUCUGGAAAAAAAAAAAAAGAAAAAGAAAGAAAGUAAAUGCUAUAACACUCAUAUGGUUUUAUAACAAUUUGAUUUCUUUUCUUUUUUUUUUUUCUUCUUAAAUUUAUCAAUAUCCAAUCGGUCUUAUAACAAUCACAAUCCGAUUUAAUUCUCCAUCACUAUUUCCCUUCUCGACGAUCUUUACAAGUUCCUUAUUUAAUGUUAACCUUAGUUAUGAAAAGAUCGUCUUCGAAGAUUUAAAAAAUGUCGAUGAGCCGAGUGUAAGUAUUUUUCUAUAGAUCAGUUUUCUUUUUUCUAUUUAUUUUCUUUUUCUUUCUUUUUUUUUUCAACAAAUCACGAUAACAACAAAUACUUUCACACAUUAGGACAUCGCGAUUGCUUAAAAAGAAAAUAGCAAAAAUUGAACGUACGUAUGAUCGAUAAGCAAUUUGUUUGAAUAUUUACGAUCAUGCACGGUCUCCACAAAUUAUUAAUAAACAAUAAACAUGGUAAAAUACAAUGGUUAUUUUAGCGAUCGAUAUUAUCUAAAAAGUUUUAAUCCGUCAGAUGAAACGCAACUGACUCGAUCGAAUCCGAUACGUUCGUCGAUAGUGAUACGCUCGAAUUAACAAGAUAGAAGAAUGAUCAUGUCUUGGUGAGAUCAAUUAAUUAAGAUCAAUUGAGAAAGAUCGUGGAGUGUCAUAUAGAACACCUUGUUUAAAUUUCAUUAGCUCGACCGAUCGAGGAGAGAGGGCUCUUUUAUGCCCUAUACGACAGAUCCAACUCGUGACUCGAUAAAAAGUGCGUGAAAAUGGACGAUUCAUCGGUUUUAUGUUUCAGGACGUUCUGAAAAUUAUACUACAGGGUUACGGUAUAAUCGUUCAAACAACGUAUCGCCAAUUAUUCGAUUCCCGAAUACGCACUGCCAAUUACGAGACUGAUACUAUACAUGAUUUCUUAUUGAUGUUGCAACGAUCCUGCGAGAAGAAAGUUGGAUUUUUGUAAUUGGAUCACGAGGAUCGGAUGGAUGAUCCAAUUCAAAAAAUGUCUAUGUCGAAUAGAUCCUGAUCUCGAAUAGAAAGAAUUUUUGGUAUGAAUGAAUUAUUAGCAAACAGUGCGAAAAGAUAUAAGUAUAUUCCAUCAAAUAAGACAAUUUCAAAAUAUCUUUCUUCUCGAUCUUUCCUUGAUAUUAUUACGAAUAUCAAAAAUACGAAGAUCGAUGAAGUUACAUCUGACAAAUCCUAUACUAUUUCCUCGUCAACUAUCAAUUUAUAAAAUGAAAUUGUAAAUUCGUAUUCAUAUCUAAUUAUCCUCGUUUAAAAUCAACAUAACAUUUGAUAUAAUGCAAUUUAAAGUCGCCGAAAAGAGAAAGCAGAUUAUAUAUGUAUAUAUAUAUAUAUAUAUAUAUAUAUAUAUAAUACACACACAAUUUUAUAUUACUUUAUGUAGAAUCUUGUCACGAUCUAUCUCAAAUUCAUAAAUAAGAUAAUUCAUAAUAAUUCAUAAUAAUUCAUGGAACGAAAAGUUUUCGUUAAUUUUUUAUAAAGAUGAAUUCGAUCUAAUAUAUAAUACACAAAAAUGAGAUCUGACGUUGAAAUUUAGAUCGAAUCGAUUAAUAUAUAAAAUCGAUGAUAUUAAUAAUGAUUAAUAAUGGUACUUUCGUAUAAGACCUAUUAAUAAUAAUGAAGAAGUAGAGAUAUUAUUAGGAAGACCUUGAAGAAAUGGAAGUCGUUGGGUCUUGUACGAUCUUAAUGGUGAUAUAAUAUAUUUGGAUUAUUUCAGAUAAAAUAAUAACCAUAAGACAUCAUGGAGUAUCUUGAAUGGCCGAUUGAAAAAAAAAAACCUUGAACGACGUGAUUGUGUUAAAAUAAAUAACGAAGAUAUGAGCAUUUUUAUUGGACGCGUAUGUCGAAAUAAAUUUAACUUCUUUUUUUUAUUUCUUUUUUUAUUUUUUUUUUUUUUUUUUUUUUUUUCUUUUAUUCGUGACUUAGUCAUUUAACGACAUUAUUUUUAUUUUUAAUUUCUUUUUAUUACAUUUUGUAAUACGUAUCUUUAUGUAUGCAAGUUGAAAGAAAUCUCGUUAUUAGAAGCGGCUAGCAAUAGAUGUAUUUGGAUAUAAAAAAAAAAAAAAAAAAAAAAAAAGGAAGAAGAAGUAGAAAAAAAUAAUAUCUAUGUACGUGUGCCGUUCAAUACGAACUACUAGUCAAAACUAAAGGCUAGAUUUAGCCUAAUAACGUGCAAUAACGUUGUGAUUAUACGAAAUUUUAAUUGUACAUGUAAUGAUGGUGCAUUUUUGAUAGCGCCAAAACUUUGCAGAGAAAUAAAUGAAUAAAGAGCAUCGUUUUAUUAACUUUCGCGUAUGAAUUUUGUAAAUCAACGAACGAUAUCUAUGUUCGAUUAAAUGGGAAAAAGUAAAAAAAAAAAAAAAAAAGAAAAAAAAAAAAAAAAAAGAAGAAAGCAAAAAUAGAAAAAAAAGAAUUAAGAAUUCUUAUAAAAAAAUUUUUCGAUUUGCGUAAAGGCUUAUUUUUAUAAACUAAUGUGAAUAUAUUAUAAGGAAAUAAACGAUCGAAGAAUUGACGGUAA